rnacentral:rRNA from 1 species
CCUACGGGCGGCAGCAGUGAGGAAUAUUGGUCAAUGGACGAGAGUCUGAACCAGCCAAGUAGCGUGAAGGAUGACUGCCCUAUGGGUUGUAAACUUCUUUUAUAUGGGAAUAAAAGGUUCGACUAGUGAGAGUUUGUAUGUACCAUAUGAAUAAGAAUCGGCUAACUCCGUGCCAGCAGCCGCGGUAAUACGGAGGAUCCGAGCGUUAUCCGGAUUGGUUGGGCUUAAAGGGAGCGUAGGUGGAUUGUUAAGUCAGUUGUGAAAGUCUGGGGCUCAACCGUAAAAUUGCAGUUGAAACUGGCAGUCUUGAGUACCGUAGAGGUGGGCGGAAUUCGAGGUGUAGCGGUGAAAUGCUUAGAUAUCACGAAGAACUCCGAUGGCGAAGGCAGCGCACUGGACUGCAACUGACACUGAGGCUCGAAAGUGUGGGUAUCAAACAGGAUUAGAUACCCUUGUAGUC